rnacentral:sRNA from 1 species
GCUGGGCAUGGUGGCGUAUGCCUGUAAUCCCAGAGAUUUGAGAGGCUGAGGCAGGAGAAAUGCAAGUUCAACAUCAGCUUCAGCAACUUACUGAAGCCCUAAGCAAUUUAGUGAGACCCUGUCUCAA